rnacentral:rRNA from 1 species
AAGGCGGGCUGGACCUCUCGGGGUUACAGCCUUGCUGAAUUAUUCACCCUUGUCUUUUGCGUACUUCUUGUUUCCUUGGUGGGUUCGCCCACCACUAGGACAAACAUAAACCUUUUGUAAUUGCAAUCAGCGUCAGUAACAAAUUAAUAAUUACAACUUUCAACAACGGAUCUCUUGGUUCUGGCAUCGAUGAAGAACGCAGCGAAAUGCGAUAAGUAGUGUGAAUUGCAGAAUUCAGUGAAUCAUCGAAUCUUUGAACGCACAUUGCGCCCUUUGGUAUUCCAAAGGGCAUGCCUGUUCGAGCGUCAUUUGUACCCUCAAGCUUUGCUUGGUGUUGGGCGUCUUGUCUCUAGCUUUGCUGGAGACUCGCCUUAAAGUAAUUGGCAGCCGGCCUACUGGUUUCGGAGCGCAGCACAAGUCGCACUCUCUAUCAGCAAAGGUCUAGCAUCCAUUAAGCCUUUUUUUCAACUUUUGACCUCGGAUCAGGUAGGGAUACCCGCUGAACUUAAGCAUAUCAAUAAGCGGAGGAAA